rnacentral:rRNA from 1 species
GAUGAACGCUGGCGGCGUGCCUAAUACAUGCAAGUCGAGCGAACAGAUGAGGAGCUUGCUCCUCUGACGUUAGCGGCGGACGGGUGAGUAACACGUGGAUAACCUACCUAUAAGACUGGGAUAACUUCGGGAAACCGGAGCUAAUACCGGAUAAUAUAUUGAACCGCAUGGUUCAAUAGUGAAAGACGGUUUUGCUGUCACUUAUAGAUGGAUCCGCGCCGCAUUAGCUAGUUGGUAAGGUAACGGCUUACCAAGGCAACGAUGCGUAGCCGACCUGAGAGGGUGAUCGGCCACACUGGAACUGAGACACGGUCCAGACUCCUACGGGAGGCAGCAGUAGGGAAUCUUCCGCAAUGGGCGAAAGCCUGACGGAGCAACGCCGCGUGAGUGAUGAAGGUCUUCGGAUCGUAAAACGCUGUUAUUAGGGAAGAACAAAUGUGUAAGUAACGAUGCACGUCUUGACGGUACCUAAUCAGAAAGCCACGGCUAACUACGU